rnacentral:rRNA from 1 species
GAUGAACGCUGGCGGCGUGCCUAAUACAUGCAAGUCGAGCGAACAGAUGAUGAGCUUUCUCCUCUGACGUUAGCGGCGGACGGGUGAGUAACACGUGCAUAACCUACCUAUUAGACUGGGAUAACUUCGGGAAACCGGAGCUAAUACCGGAUAAUAUAUUGAACCGCAUGGUUCAAUAGUGAAAGACGGUUUUGCUGUCACUUAUAGAUGGUUCCGCGCCGCAUUAGCUAGUUGGUAAGGUAACGGCUUACCAAGGCAACGAUGCGUAGCCGACCUGAGAGGGUGAUCGGCCACACUGGAACUGAGACACGGUCCAGACUCCUACGGGAGGCAGCAGUAGGGAAUAUUCCGCAAUGGGCGAAAGCCUGACGGAGCAACGCCGCGUGAGUGAUGAAGGUCUUCGGAUCGUAAAACUCUGUUAUUAGGGAAGAACAAAUGUGUAAGUAACUAUGCACGUCUUGACGGUACCUAAUCAGAAAGCCCCGGCUAACUACGUG